rnacentral:rRNA from 1 species
GACGAACGCUGGCGGCGUGUCUAAUACAUGCAAGUAGAACGCUGAAGGAGGAGCUUGCUCUUCUGGAUGAGUUGCGAACGGGUGAGUAACGCGUAGGUAACCUGCCUGGUAGCGGGGGAUAACUAUUGGAAACGAUAGCUAAUACCGCAUAACAGUAGAUGUUGCAUGACAUUUACUUAAAAGGUGCAAUUGCAUCACUACCAGAUGGACCUGCGUUGUAUUAGCUAGUUGGUGGGGUAACGGCUCACCAAGGCGACGAUACAUAGCCGACCUGAGAGGGUGAUCGGCCACACUGGGACUGAGACACGGCCCAGACUCCUACGGGAGGCAGCAGUAGGGAAUCUUCGGCAAUGGACGGAAGUCUGACCGAGCAACGCCGCGUGAGUGAAGAAGGUUUUCGGAUCGUAAAGCUCUGUUGUAAGAGAAGAACGAGUGUGAGAGUGGAAAGUUCACACUGUGACGGUAUCUUACCAGAAAGGGACGGCUAACUACGUG